rnacentral:rRNA from 1 species
UACGGAGGAUGCAAGCGUUAUCCGGAAUGAUUGGGCGUAAAGCGUCCGCAGGUGGCUAUGUAAGUCUGCUGUUAAAGAGUGAGGCUCAACCUCAUAAGAGCAGUGGAAACUACAUGGCUAGAGUGCGUUCGGGGCAGAGGGAAUUCCUGGUGUAGCGGUGAAAUGCGUAGAUAUCAGGAAGAACACCGGUGGCGAAGGCGGAUCUCUGGGCCUUACCUGACGCUGAGGCGCGAAAGCUAGGGGAGCGAACAGG